ACUAACAGAUUUUCCUAGAUCUGACUUUGAAUCCCACGGCUUCAAAUCCCAAAACGGCCUCCACCGUCACUCCAAACUCCUCUUCCUUUUAUUAUAUUUAUCAUCUAGCUCUAGCCUCUUUCCCUCCUAAAAACCUGGCCACGAAUCCCCUUCAAAGCCACGAGACCGAAACCCUCUCUCUUUUCUUUUUUUUUUUUUGUUGGCUUUUUGGUGCUGUUUCUCCCCAUUCUAGGGGGAUGUGAUCUUUUUUAUUGUGUGUGACUUUUCUUUUUUUUUUUUUGUUUUGGUUGUUAGGCGAAGCGGGUGCUUGACUGGGGUUCUUUUGGUGGCUCAAAGGGGGUUUUUUGGUUGGGGAAGUAGGUUUAAGGUUGUUGAUGGAUGGUGGGUGUUGGGCGAAUUAGAUGGUUAAGAGGGUCGGUGAUGGAGAUGAGUUUUUGGUGCUUGGCUGGGGUGCGACAGAAUGUUUUGGCAUUGUUUUUGUUCAGAUGGAAAAUGGUUCAGGUUGAAUUGGGAUUUGGCAAUGCUUGGUGCAAAUUGGCUGUGAUGGGUUUGGGUGUUAGGCCAGAGCUCUCUCCUUUGAAAAUUGGCUUCCUUCCUCAUCUGUGAUUGGCUCAUUUUUGUAAAGUAGAUCUGGGAUGAAAAUCCCAGAUUUUCAAUAAUUCAAAUCCCUAUUUUCGUUCGGCAGAGUGGCUGGUAGCUUGAUUUCAACUGACACCCUCUGCUGUGUUGAAAAAAAAGAUGACUUCCUGAGAAGGGAUGGGGACAUUUAAUGUUUGUGUUGUUUUUCAUCUCUAGACGAACGAAAAAGAAAAAUGGAUGUUUGGCCAACAUUUAAUGCCGGGAUCCAAUUUGAUUUUUUUUAAUCUUCAUUAUUUUCAGACAAAAUUAAGUAAUCAAUCCAUUUAAGUUUAAAUUAUUACUUAAUUUGAUUUUUUUAAUCUUCAUUAUUUUGAAAUUAUUUAAAUUUUGAUUCAAUUUAAGUUUGAUUGUCUAUCUUACAAAAUAAAUUUAAGAG
rnacentral:lncRNA from 1 species